UGGAUUUUGCCAUCAAAACAAUGUUCAAGUUGCUGCACCAUGAGCUAAACUUCAGAGACAGAUCCACUGUAAGUGUUGAAGAAAAGGAUCUGCCCUCAGGAUUUCAGUUGCACCCUGCCCUUUAAAAGAAGUGAGGCUCUUUAUAUACCUGGUGCACACAAGCAGAAGAUAACCACAACUAACAGACUCACACAAGCCAAAGGCAGUCUCAGCAGCAUCUACUCUCCUGUGCCAAAGCCACUCCUUGAUGCAACAACACCGUCUGUCCUUGAAGCGGGACUUGAGCAGUUUCACCUCCAAAGUCCCAGAAAGUUUGGAUUUUCCCACAUACUUCCCGCAGGCAAAUAAUUUCUUUCAGCUCCAUGAAUCGCAUAGCAUUGGAGAAUCACUGGACACUGGAUAAUCACUGACACAAAGUGACAGCAGAUGGCACAACCCACCCAGCCUGUACCCUAUGCAUUGUGCAAGUUCAACAAGCUCUUCAGCCGGUGCAGAACCGGUUCCUAACUCGUUCUUUGUUGCAUAAACCCUGUGAAGGCAAAAAACCUUGGUAGCCAAACGUUUCCAGAUGCACUCACCUGAAAACAUACUCCAGACUCUGCAGUGAAAGAAUGAAAAGGAUGAAUAAAUGAAUUCUGCUUGAAGUGACAGUAUGUAUUAUGAAAGAAGUUUUAAUUUCAGAUAAUAAAGACUGAACCCUACUCUCCAGAGGCCUGUGAUAAUGAGCAGACUAAUGGUGGCAAACCCCACCUCUCAAAGAUACUGCACUGUGUUCAUGGGCUCAGCACUGAACCAGCAGUGCCCUUUAUUUCUUCCUCUUUGGAUCUGGCAUGUGUCAGUUGAGGUAUCCAGAGACAGCACAGAUGCCCAAACGUGGGCAGGAAGCCAGGUUGCAGGGCUUACAGUAUAAAUAUAUAUUUUUUUAACUUCAUGCAUACCCUUUUUCCCAGUAAGUGUGUUUUUCGGGCUUAGAAACUCUGUGUUCUUAGCUAUUUUAAGAAACCUGAAGGGUGAGAGAUG